rnacentral:snRNA from 1 species
AAAACUUCCUUGUAUUCAAAAAA